rnacentral:lncRNA from 1 species
UUUCAUCUCGAAUUUCAUAGGUGAGACUUCAAUCUUUUAUUCUGUGCCUUUUCUCAUUUAAGGAUAUUUCUCGCUCUCAAAUACGAUCAAGUAGCUGGUCCUGUGUUAAGUUGAUUGAGUAUUCUGUGCCUUUUCUCAUUUAAGUAUAUUUCUCGCUUUAAAAUAGGACAAGUGGAAGUUAUUUGUGAAUUUGUGAGAAUGUGAUUUGAAAUUCUUUCUGGGUGCUGUAUUUGAUGGGUGAAGGAUUGGAAUAGUUGAUGAUAAGGAAUGAGGUUUUGAAUCAUUUUGUGAUUGCAGUUGAUGAGCCACGGCAUCCUCUUUUCUUUUUUCCCCGGCUCUCUCUUUGCGCUUCUUUUCCUUAAUCAUCACUCCUUGAUAUUGAUCGUUGAAAUUAAUCUAAGGAAUUAUUGA